AACAUUGAACAAAUAACAAGCAAACCCGAUCAUUUCGGGAAGCAUACAUCAAAUUUUGGCUGAGGAAACGGAGUUGCCAAAAAAAGGCCAAAAAGGAAUAAAAAUCAUGGAAUUAAAUGGCGAAAAUGACUUAAUAGUUAAAAUUAGUAGUAGGUCGGAGGAGGAGAUGCUGAUGGGGGUGGAGGUGAAGCAUAGGUGGCGGAUUUCUCGUACUUCUCAGGCGGUGCUGGUGACACAUAGGUAGGAGUUUGCUUGUAAUAGUUUGUUGGUGGUGGAGGUGAGUAAUAAGAUGGUGAUUUUUCAUAGGUCUUUGGUAGAGAUGGCAAGUUGUAAGUUAUAGGUGGUUGCUCGUAGUAUUUUGGUGGAGGUGGAGGAGAUUUAUAAGAAGGUGUAGAUCCUUUGUAGUAUGGAGGAGGUGGAGAUUUAUAAGAAGAUAGUGAUUGCUCAUAGUAUUUUGGUGGGGAUGGAGAUGACUUGUAAUAAGGUGAUUGCUUUAUAGUAUGGUGGAGGUGGAGAUUUGUAAGAAGAUGGUGACUGCUCAUUGUAUGUUGGAGGAGGUGGGGGUGAAUUAUAGUACGAAGGUGAUUUCUCAUAAUAAGUUGGCGGUGGUGGAGAUUUAUAGUAAACUGGGGACUUGUAAUUUUUUUUUGGUGCCGGUAACUUAUAAUAUUUAGAAGGAGCAGGUGAUUUAUAGUAUUUUGUUGCGGAUGGUGACGUGUAGUACUUUGCAGGUGAUGGCGCUUUGUAGUACUUUGCAGGUGAUGGUGACUUGUAGUAGUUCAAUGAAGGAGCUGGUGACUUGUAGUAUUUUGAAGGAGCUGAUGACUUGUAGUAUUUUGCAGGAGCUGGGGACUUGUAGUAUUUUAUGGGAACUGGCGAUUUGUAGUAUUUUACAAGAGCUGGCACCUUGUAGUAUUUUGCGGGAACUGGCGAUUUGUAAUAUUUUGCGGAAGCUGGAGAUUUGAAAUAUUUUACAGGAGUUGGCCACUUGUAAUAGUGCUUUACGCUGGCGAUUUGUAGUGUUUUACAAGAGCUGGCACCUUGUAGUAUUUUGCGGGAACUGGCGAUUUGUAAUAUUUUGCGGGAACUGGAGAUUUGUAAUAUUUUACGGGAGCUGGCGACUUGUAAUAGUGCUUUACAGGAAGAGGUGACUUAUAGUAAGGAAUAGGUACAUGAUACUUGGAUGGAGAUGGAGAUUUGUAAUACUUCUUAGAGGUGUAAGAAGGUGAGGGAGAAGCAUACCCAUAAGAGUAAUCAGCAACGACAGAGCUGGCUAUAAAGCAAAUUGCCAAAGCAACUGCAAGUAAAGGCCAUUGUCCCAGCUUCCCUAUGCUUGUCAUUUUGCUUAUGAUACAACCAAUAUUUGGAGAAAGAAUGAAAAGAACUUAAACUUGACUUGCAUAUUGAGUAGUGAGCAUAUUUGGAGAAGAAUGAAAAGAACUUAAACUUGACUUGGAUAUUGAGUAGGGAGCUCUGGCUUUUAUAUAGGAACAUAAUAUUAUCAUUUUAGGGUUGUGUUAUUGGGCAUCCACUAAGAUUAUAGCUAAGUCAAAAUAUGGACUUCAUCUUUUCUAGAAUUAGUGGUAGGCAUUAUCUCCAGUCGAGUAGAAAACUCUGGUUUUUAUAUUUCAGUGAGAUAUCUUUAUUAAUUAGGACUAACAUUUAUGUAAUUGUUCUUGGUUAGCCACAAAGAUUAUAAAGCAAAGGCCAAAUAAAUAAGGGCCUUUUCACUUUUAAUCUGCCAAAAAUUAUUUAUAUUUAGUAGCCGAAAAAAUAUAUAAAUUUUUUUAUGAUUUUUAUUUAUAACAUAUAGAAUUUAUAUAUACAUAUAAAAUAUAUAUAUUUUUCGGCUAUUAUUUUGAGAGCUGCUAUAGAGUAUAAUUUUCUAAUAAAUAAUAAGCCAGUACUUAAUGGUUAGCUUUUUUCUGUUGACUGGAAAACAAUUUAGAGAUAAAUAUUAAAAAUGGAGAAAACAAUAAGGAUGCCACGACUUGCAUCCCAUUAGCGAAGAUUAAGUUGACUUUUACAAAUAAUUACGGUAUGCUAUUGAAUAUGCAGUUCAAAAACUAUCAGGAAAACCAGCAAAUACACACAUCAGAGUAUACCUUAAGGGGUCAUUUGAUUCAGUUAUAGAAUAUUCAAUGAGACUAUAAUUCUGGGAUAGGGUGGUUGAAGUAAGGUUGAGAAUGACGGUGUCCGUUUCCGACAACCAGUUUGAUUUCACGCCGGGUCGUAUUACUGCUGAAGCUAUACAUCUUGCUAGGAAGUUGGUUGAACGGUAGAGAGAUAGAAAGAAAUAACUGCACAUGGGGUUAUUAUGGGGUUACCCCAAGGUUUUGCACUCAUUCCGUUCCUAUUCGCCCUAGUGAUGGACGCUUUAUCACAUCACAUUCAAGAGGAUGGGCCAUGGUGCAUGCUAUUUACAGAGACAUAGUUUUGAUUGAUGAGUCACGAACCAGUGUUAACGAGAGGCUGGAGGUUUAGAGGCAUGCUCUUAAAUCUAAGUUUUUCAAGCUUAGCACGACAAGACGAAAUACCCGGAGUGUAUGUUCACCGCUGAACAGAGGGAAGUGGGUGUGAAUGUGAGGCUUGAAUCCCAGGUCAUCCCGAGUAGAGACAUCAUCAAGUACCUUGGGUCGGUUAUCCGNNNNNNNNNNNNNNNNNNNNNNNNNNNNNNNNNNNNNNNNNNNNNNNNNNNNNNNNNNNNNNNNNNNNNNNNNNNNNNNNNNNNNNNNNNNNNNNNNNNNNNNNNNNNNNNNNNNNNNNNNNNNNNNNNNNNGGGGGGGGGGGGGGGGAAGAUCGACAAGGAUGUUACACACCGUAUUGGGUAGAAUUGAUAAAGUGGAGGUUAGCAAAUGGAGUAUUGUGUGACAAGAGAGUGCCACUGAUACUCAAACGUAAGUUCAAUAAAGCGGUGGUUAGGCCGGCCAUGAUAUAUGGGGCAGAGUGUUGGCUAGUUAAUAAAUCACAUACCCAGAAGAUGAAGGUAGCAUAAAUGAGGAUGUUGAGGUAGAUGUGCGGGCAUAUUAGGAUUGAUAAGAUUCGGAAUUAUGAUAUUUGGGAGAGGUGUGCGUAGCUCCCAUUGAUGACAAGAUGUGGGAAGUAAGGCUCAGAUGGUUCCGGCAUGUUCAGAGGAAAAGCCCAGAUGCUCCGGUAAGGAGGUGCGAACGACUGGUUGUGGAGGGCACGAGAAGAGGUAGGGGCGGCCUAAGAAGCAUUAGGGGGAGGUGAUUAGGAAGGAGAUGACGAGUCUUCAGAUUUACGAGGACAUGGCACUUGAUAGAAAUAUGUGGAGGUUGAGUAUGAGGGUUGCACGUUAAGAGGUAGUCGAGUCUUGUCUUAUGCCAUAACUUUGUGUGACUAGUUUGGUAGGGAUACUAUUUUGCUUUUGGUUUGUAUCAUUCUUCUUAAUUGCAUGUUGUUUCUAUUUUUUGUAUUUUUUCACAUUAUAUAUGUGGUGUUACUAAUAUUAUCUUCUUUUGUAUUUUUGUCUUCUUGAGCCGAGGAUCUUUCGAACCACAACUAGAUCAUAAUUUUUUUAAUAUUUGAGAGAGCUUCUAUUGUUAAAAAUUGUAGUGAGAUAGAAUUGAACUCACAACCUAUUCUAACUUAAGAGUCUAUUAAAACAAUGGAUUAAGGUUAUUUCUUAUUGAGUAAUAUGAUAAUUAAUAUUAUUUACUAUGUGCUCUUCUAUAAAUAUCGACACCAUUUACGAAAAAUCAUACGUACGCCCCUACAUUUGGUAUGAAUACUAUUUCGGUAUUAGCUUAUAUCCACAUUCAAAUAGGAGAUAACUAUUCACAAAUUUUAUACACGGAUUAAUAUCUUUAUCAUGUUAACCAAAUGACCCCUAAAUGUAUCGGUAUGAGUGUAUUGAGAAAAUUUGAGUUUACAUAAUAAAGUGGAAUAAAGAUGACGUCUCAAGGACACGUAGACUGAUAAAAAAUUUUCAACUGGCAAAGAGAUACGAGUUGCAACAGAUACGAGCAAAGACUGAGGAAGAGGCACGGGUAGUUAUUCAAAUGACUCAGCGCCCGUACCUAUUUAAGUCCUUGAAGUCCGAGAAUCAAAGGAAAUGAGUCUGAUAAUAUAAAAGAAUACAGAUAUAGCAUUUAAUGUUGAAUACAUUAGGGAAUCUGUAUUAAUAUAAUUAUUAUGUAACGUAGCAUUCAAUGUCUUUAAUUACUCAUAAUAUCCUCAUUAUGGCAUAGGCAAAAUGUUUUAAAGGGAGAUAAUUGAUCUAUUGUUAGGACACGAAUUACUAUCUGAUUAUACAUUGGUUUACUUGAUUCUAAUUAUCUUAACUCUAGCCAACUUACUUUCUUUUAUACAUUCUUUCGAUUAUCAGUAACCCAUAUUCUUCUAAAUUAUCGCUUUGACUAAAAUCUCUUUUUUCUUGUUAAACAAAUUGGUUUCGUUACCGCGAAUAUGAUAAUCUAUUCUCUUUUAACUUAACUUUCCUUGCUGCAUCCACCAUUUCGAACAACAAGGAAAACAUUCAAGGAAACCAAGAAAACUAAUAACUUCAGGGAGACCCACAUGAUAAUAACGCAAUGAUUACUUCUCCACGAGGCUCUCCAUGUCGAUCUCGUGAAGGCACUCCUAAUGGAUCUCAUACAAAUGGACAGGCUCAACUUAAAAAUGUUUAAGCUAUGGAUGAGGCUUUGCAAAAACUUAUUGCCUCACAGGUAAAUAAAGCUCUUCAGGAUAUAUUAGCCAGUUUCUUGUUGCACCAUCCACACCUACUCCAAAUAAUAAUACUUUGGAGAACCCUCAUUCCGGGCUUGUUAAUUCAGGUAAUGGUGGAACCCCCAGCAAAUCAUAGGAAGGAAAACCAGGUAACUUAGUUAAUUCUGAUUUGAAAAAUUCAGUACUAACAUUGCAUAAACAGCUCAAGGAGUGAAGUGACCGCAUAUCGCAAAUACCCUAUGUACUGCCCCUAUUCAAAGGGGUAGAUAUGGAUAAAUAUUCACAAUAACCGUGGAAGCUAUGUUUUGCUCCCCUCCCAAUUCCAAAUAAAUUCAAAAUGCCUGAUAUUCCAAAAUACGAUGGAACAAUAGACCCACAUGAUUACAUGACUGCAUUCACGACAGGCGUAAAAGGAAAUGAUUUGACAAAGCAGGAGAUUGAAUCAGUAUUGUCAAAAACUUUGGAGAAACACUCACCAAGUAUGCAUUAACAUGGUAUUCUCUUUUACCCAAAAAUUCUAUAAAUUCUUUUGAUGAGCUUUCAUAUUCUCUCAUCAAAGCAUACUCAGGAGUUCAAAAAUUUGAAAAAGAGGAUGGAAGAUAUUUUCAAUAUCAAGCAAGGGGACUCAAAAUUACUUAGGGAGUUCGUAGAUAGAUUCCAACGUAAAAGAACAAUCUUGCCCCGUGUACUUAAUAAUUGGGCCGCUAUAGCUUUCACAAGUAAUUUGAGAGAAAAAAGGUCAGAAGCUACAAGGCGACUCAAGGAAAGCCUUUGUGAAUUCCCAGCUAUAACAUGGAAUAACAUUUACAACAGGUAUAGUACGAAGUUGAGAAUAGAAGAAGAUAUCGUUCCUCGAUUUCAAAAAAAGGAAAAAGGGUAGCGCGAGAAGGGCGAAAACCGAAAAGAGGUCCGGUAAAAAUAGGUACGAGCCAUACAUGGGAUUUGUGGGAAAAGACUCACGGUCAAAAUAGGACUAUCAAAGGUAUAAUCCCAGAUCAAGGAAUAGAGAGUUAGGAUCUUCAUCAAGAUUUGGGAAUUAUCGAAACACCCAAGAGUCACGAGAUGAGGAUAGAGCGGUUACAAUUUCAAUGCAAGCACGUACGAACUCGUAGCUGCUUUAAGAAACAUGGGUAACAAGGUAUGAUGGCCAAAAGAGAUGAGAUCGAAUCCAAUCAGAGGCAACUCUGACCAUUGGUGCGAGUUUCAUAAUGAUCACGGGAACAAGAUGGCAGAAUGCAGGUUUUUAUAAAGUGAAGUUGAUCAUCGAUUAAAACAGGGGUACCCCACCGAGUUAUUCAGUGAGAAAGGUAAACAAGCUUAUAUGAAGAAUAGGAGGAGCCUCCAAAAUCACCUUCACCCAAAAAGACCGUCAAUGUCGUAAGCGGAGGGGAAGAUAUCAACGGUGUGACAUACAAGACAUCCAAUAAAGUUUCUAAGGUCACCAUUACCCACAUAAAGCGGGUGCGACAUGUCUUAGAAGAAGAAAGUAUUACCUUUGAUGAUGCAAAUGCGGGUGGCGUAUUAUCUCCACAUAACGAUGUACCGGUAAUAACUCUACUUGUACAUGAUACUAAUGUACAACGAGUUUUGAUUGAUCCAGGAAGUUCUGUAAAUAUUAUCCUACUAAGGGUACAGUACGUGAAAUGCAAGCUAAUGAUAAUUUAGUACCAAAGGCGCAUACUCUGUCUGGAUUUGACAAUUCCAGCAUCGUAAAAAAAAGGAGAGGCAAUACUUACUACUUUCGCAGAAGGUGUAAUCAAAGAUACUAAGUUUCAGGUAGUAGAUAUUGAGAUGUCCUAUAAUAUGAUCCUUGGGAAACCAUGGAUUGACGAGAUGGAUUUUUUUCCAUCAACCUUACAUCAAAUUAUUAAACUCCCAUCAACAUGGGGAAUAUGUCAAAUCCGUGGGGAUCAACAUACAUUUAGAAGCAUCAAUUCUGUAGCAGAUUCAAGUACAAGAAAUGAAGAAAUAUUGCAACUGCAGAAUCGAAUUGAGGAAAUCACAACAUAAACCUCCAAUUGACAAGAGCAUAUUGAUGUGGACUCAAGGGCAGACACCAUUCAACAGCCAGAGGGAAAUGAAAAUACCAAAUUAACGAUUGAAGAAUUAGAAGUCGUAGUAUUAUUCGAACAAUGGCCUGAAAGGAAAGUUUAUGUGGGAGCCAAUCUGAGCCCAGAUAUGAAAAUUAUGUUAAUUGGAUUCUUAAAAGCUAGCGUGGAUUGUUUUUCUUGGUCCCACUCUGAUAUGACAGGAAUACCACCGGAGGUAAUGACUGACAAGUUAAACGAAGACCCAUUUUAUUCUCAUAUCAAACAAAAGAAGAGAAAGCAAGGAACUUUCCAAAAUCAAGUGAUUCAAGAUGAGGUUCAAAAAUUACUAAAUAUUGGGUCUAUCCGCGAGGUAAAGUAUCAUAAUUAGUUAGCUAAUACUGUUGUCGUACCAAAAGAAUGGUAAGUGGCGAGUUUGUGUAGAAUACACAGAUCUUAAUAAAGCAUGUCCUAAAGAUUCUUUUUCAUUACCACAUAUAGAUCAACUAAUUGAUGCUACUGCAGGGCAUGUGCUAAUAAGUUUUUUAGAUGCAUAUUCAGGGUACAAUUAGAUCAAAAUGGAUCCAGUGGAUGAUGAAAAAACUUCAUUCAUACCAAGCAGGGGGACUUACUUUUAUAAAGUAAUGCCAUUUGGUCUGAAAAAUGCCGGUGCAACAUAUCAAAGGUUGGUCACUAAAAUGUUUCAAGAAUAUUUGGGAAAAAACAUAGAGGCUUAUAUAGAUGAUAUGCUAAUUAAAACUUAGCAUUCAAGGUAUCAUAUAUCUCAUUUAUCUGAUACAUUUCAAAUUCUGUGCAAAUUUAACAUGAAGUUAAAUCCCGAGAAAUGUGCAUUUGGCGUCGCAUCAAGUAAGUUUUUAGGUUUUCUUGUUUCUAACCAUGGUAUUGAAAUGAAUCCCGCACAGAUUAAGGCCAUUGAAGAAAUCCCUGACAUGAUUUCAAGCAAAAAAAAAGUUCAGAGAUUAACAGGAAGAAUUGCAGCCUUGGGAAGAUUCAUUUCUAAAUCAUCGUAAAAGUGUUGUAUAUUCUUCUCACCUCUAAAAGAGCAAGAUUAUUUUGAAUGGAAUGAGGAAUGUUAGCAGGCACUUAGAAAUUUAAAAACAUACUUAUCAAAUACACCGUUGCUCGCAAAACGAAAGGUUGGGGAAAGAUUACUUAUUUACCUUGUUGUUUCAGAAAUAGCAGUAAGUGUUGUUUUAGUCCGAGAAGAACAAAGUAAAGAAUACCCCAUCUAUUAUGUUAGAAAAUCUUUGUUAGAUACAGAGACAUGGUAUCCGCAAUUGGAAAAACUUGCAUUUGCAUUUAUCAUGGCAUCUAGGAAGUUAAGACCUUAUUUUCAGUGUCAUCCUAUUGUUGUAGUAAUUGCUUACCUGUUACGUAAUAUAUUACAUAAGCAUGAAUUGUCGGGAAAGUUAGCUAAGAGGGAUGUUGAAUUGAGAGAAUAUUAUAUCAGUUACCAACCUAGAACCGCUAUAAAAUUUCAGGUAUUAGCGGAUUUCGUGGCUGAUUUUAGCCAAGGGAUGCAAUUAGAAGAAAACAAAGAAUUGCAGGUGUUCAAUGGAGCUAACCCAGGGACCUAGACCUUAUUCACUAAUGGUUCAUCCAAUGUAAAAGUUGCACGUUUUGGGAUCGUUUUGGCACCAACUAUGGGUGAAACCAUUCGAAAAGCUAUCAAAUGUAAUUCUAUAAUUAACAGUGAGGCAGAAUAUGAGGUUGUGAUUGCAGGUUUAGAGCUGGCACAAGAACUCGGCAUAAAUUAGAUUGUAAUCAAAAGCUAUUCACAACUCGUGGUUAAUUAAAUGUUGGGGAGUUAUGCAGCCGAAGAGGCGAGGAUACAUCAGUAUUUAGAAAAGGUACGGGAAUUGAUAAUGCAAUUUAAAACCUAGAAAGUUGCACAAAUACCAAGGGAUGAAAAUGUUUAAGCAGACGCUCUAGCUAAUCUCGCAUAUGUACUGUGGAGUUAUAUAGCCGGAGAGGCGAGGAUGCAGCAGUAUUUAGAAAAGGUACGGGAAUUGAUAAUGCAAUUUAAAACCGAGAAAGUUGCACAAAUACCAUGGGACGAAAAUGUUUGAGCGGACACUCUAGCUAAUCUCGCAUAUGUAGCUGACAUGGAAAACGAUGCAAACACUUCAGUUAUUCAUUUAUUUUAUUCAGCCCUUGACCUGGAUAAGAAUGAGGUAAGUUUUAAUAACUUUACUUGGGAUUGGAGGAAUGAGAUUGUUGUUUUUUUUGCAGUAUGGUACUGUCCCUGAUGAUAAAAAGAAGCACAUGCACUUCAAAAAAGGGAUGCUCCGUACUGCUUAAAGCAAAAAAAUCUUUAUCAUAAAAUGAUCGGUGAUCCCUUAGCAAGAUGCCUCGGACCUUCUCAAACAGAGUAGGUAAUGAGAGAAAUACACAAAGGACAUUAUGGAAAUCAUGCAGGUGGAAGAUUCCCGGUAAGAACCUUAAUUAGGAAAGGUUAUUACAGGCCUAAAAUAGAAUAGAAAGCAGAAAGUUUCGUGGCUAAAUGUGACAAAUGGCAAAGGUAUGGUAACAAUAUGCAUAGACCUGCGGAGUUAUUACAUCUAGUCAUUUCACUGUGUCCAUUUAUGAAAUGGGGAAUGGAUAUCGUGGGUCCAUUACCACAAGCAAAAGGACAUUCAAAGUUUUUUCACGUACUCACUGAUUAUUUUACUAAAUGGGUAGCCGCAAGAGAAUUAAAAUAGGUGCAAGAAAAGGAAGUCAAAGAAUAUAUUUGGUGGAAUAUUAUAUGCUAACUCGGUGUACCAAAGGAGAUCGUAUGUGAUGAUGGCCUUCAGUUUAUAGGAGCUCAAAUCACGGAAUUCUUUCAAAGUUGGUAGAUUAAAAGGAUUACAUCUACACCUUAUCAUCCGAUGGGUAGUGGGCAAGCAGAAUCACUAAACAAAGUCAUUAUCAACAAUUUAAAGAAGCGCUUAGAGGAAUAAAAAUGUAACUAGCCUGAAUUGUUGCCUUGAGUUUCAUGGGCAUAUCGCACAACAACAAAAAUGAGUAUAGGAGAAAAACCAUUUUCAUUGGUUUAUGGUGCUGAAGCUUUAAUUCUAGUUGAUAUAGGAUAACCGAGUGCACGGUUCAAACAUGCCAUAGAAAAAUCUAAUGACGAGGAGAUGCGGGUCAACCUUGAUUUAUUCGAAGGAAGGAGAGAAGUUGCACUAAUAAGAAUGGCAGCACAAAAACAAUUCAUAGAACGAUAUUACCACCGAAAAUCACGCCUCAAAUUCUUCAAAAUUUAGGACUUCAUGCUCAAAAGGUUAUUCAAUCUAGAAAGACAGCGAACGCGGGUAAAUUAAGCCCAACAUGGGAAGGACCCUAUAGAGUUCGUGAUAUUGAAGGAAUAAGAGCAUAUGAACUGGAGACAAUAGAUGGAAAGAUACUACCUUCACAUUGGAAUGUUGUUCAUCUGAAGAGAUACUAUUUCUAAGGAAUACCCACGGUCAGGUAUCCAUGUUUUAAAUUUAAUUUUUGAAUUGAAUUGUUAAAAUUUUACUAACAAUUUUAGAUGAUAGGCAAAAAGUUAACCCGUACUAAUUGAUGAGUUACGACUUGUAAGGCACAUAGAAUAAACUAAAAUUUCUAGCCUAGGGUUACAAUUAUUCUGAUAGAAAUACAAACAGGUUGAGCAGUCUUCAUCAAUAAUUGUACCUCCGAGUCCCGUGAAUUUUUCAUUUUCAAGAAAUGACCAAAUGAGAGGAACAAUCAAGUGUUCGAGGCUUCAUACUUCAACGCUCAAACACUUGGGGACUACAUAAUUUACACAUGCAUGUGUAUAAAGAAGACAAAGAAGAUUGAGAAAAAUCAAAGACCAAGCCUGAAAAACUCAAGUGCACAGAAAAAAUCACGAAGUCACGAGCUAGGACAAAUAAAAACCUUACUAUAGUUAGGGUAAAGGCUAUGUAGUGAAAUGGGUCAUAAGGAAAAACCUCCUAUUUAUUAUAUGUACUAAAAUGGGUUAUGAGGAAAAACCUUGUGUAUACUAUUCUUCUUUUCUAAAAUUUGUUACAAGAAAAACAGUGAAGAGAAAGUUAUAGAUGUAAUUUAAAUACAUGUAAAGUAUUAUUCAAAACUAGACAAGGUUCAAAGAAACAUGUGUGUUCCUAUUUCUUUUAUCGUAUGUUAAUACCAUUAUGAAGUUGAGACGUCUUCUUCAUUAAGUGUCGAAAUAUAAAAGGUCCUCUUUUAAAAACUUAUAUUUAAAUUAAUUAGUCAUGAGGAUAAUAGAAGCAUUUUUGAAGAAAAAAAUGCAAAAUAUUCUGUAAUUCCUUAAGAAUAAAGACAAGAAUAAAAUAAACAUAAGUUCAAGAUAAUAACAUGAAAACUUCUUAAUAGUUACAAACUUAAGACUAUGUAUGAACUUAGUCGAAAAACUAUGAAUUGUUUAUACAGAUUGCCCCAUGAAAAGACUUGGGGACUUGCCUUUCCAAAAUCAACCAUCAAAUGAAGCCUAGUGUUUGAUUACAAUUUUCCAAAUAAAAAAACAAAGUCAUUCAAAUAACUAAGGUUGGUCACUGAGAAGUAGGAGGAACUGAAACAAGAGCAUCAAUAGCAACAGGCUCAGUUUGGGCGGGUGCAUCAACAGUUGUGGGUUCAACGUGACUUGCAGCAACAUGAUCGACUAGGCUUGAAAGAAUUGGGAUUCUGGAAUCGACUUCAAUGUUCAUAGAAGCUUCAGCCACGGGAGAAGGAAACUCUUGAUUUUGCUGAACUUUCUCAGUGGUUUCAUUGAUCUUAGCCAACUCAGAUUCCAAGUUGAAGUUUUCUUGGCUAGCUUCGAUUAGGGUAUCACGGCGGAAAUUCAAAAAUUCCCAACUCACCUCAAUAGCACAUUUAUCUUUAAGGGGAUCAUAAUCCCCUUUCCCAAUCAGAAAUCUCAUUAAUUAGCUUCUCAAUUUUAGCCAAGGCAGAGUUGUAAGAAGUUUGAAGAGAGGCAUGGGAGCUUUCUAAAGCAUGCACCUUAUGAGAAGAGACUCGAAGGUCUGCUUGUGCUUGAGUUAAACUUUGCACGAGCUCCCCAGCGUAAGUUUCUUUUUUUCUCAAGAGAGCCUUCAACUCUCUAUUUUUUUCACUAGACUUGGAUAGUUGUUCUGAGAAGGAAGAUUCAAGACGCUCUUUUUUCUUUUUCUGGCUGGCUUGAGAAAGCUUUUACAACUUCUAACUCUAAGGUUAAAUCCCGCACAUGUUGUUCCAAGGUACUCGUGCUCUCUUCUAAGAACUCCACAUCAAUUUGUAAGCUCUCGAACUGUUCCUUCCAGUUGCACGCAUCUAAUUGAGAAUCACGUGCUAACUGCUCCAAGAGGGGGAUUCUGUUCAUUUCUGUGCCCUAUAAGAUUGGCCUAAAAAAAAGAGGAAGGAUAAUAAGAAUCCCAAAGAUAGGGAAAUUACAAAGAAAAAAAGAGAAGGUGAAUACCUUCUAAGUGCAUGCACAAUAUCAUUCAUCAGAGUCAGGGAGCUAUGGCUCUCCAACUUGGCUUUUUCAAUUGGGCCAACUAAAGGCUCUAGCCAAACAUCCGCCUGACCUGACUUCCUCACAAGACUGCUCUCAACAGGAACUUCAAUGACAACCUUCUUAAUAGCAGCACUUCUACUUGAAGAACCCACUUCAGUAUGAUGAAUUAUUGGAGGAGGAAUUGUGAAGGAGGAGGAGUAGAAGAGGUAAAAACAGUCGAGGAAAGAACACAAAAAGCUAGCGUUGUCAAGGAAGGAAUCAGAGGCACGAGUGUUGAAAUAAAAAAGAAGCUAAUAGUGUUUCGUGUAAAACAUGCCCUAAACCUCCACUACCAAAGCCACUUAUAAAAAGUUGUUUAAUGGACUCACGAGUAUCAGUGGAAGUGACAUCAUCAUCUGAAGUUAUUACCAAGGCUUCUAUUGGCUCGGUGAGAGGAAUGGAAAGACGGGGAGACGCUUCAGCAUCAUCAUCAGAAAUGAUACGUCUUCGAGCCCGCGACCUUGUAACCAAAGAGCCCCCAUAUUCUUUUUCUUCUUCAGAAUCUUUUUCUUCAAUAGCUUUUCUUUUUGCUGAAGUGCCAAGACUAUUUCUUGAGCCCUUUCUAAAGAGAUAUAGGUUCUUAAAGAGAUGCGGGAAGCCGCAACUACCUAGGCAAUAACUCCCCGAAUAGCAAAUUAUUAUAAAAAGAAAGAUUGAAGUUAGAAUAAUAAAAAUAUAUAUACAUGAAAGAUGAAACAAAAUAAAAAUUAUUACCAUGAGUUUUUACUUUCCAACCAUAAUGGUUAGAAAGUGACUUCCAAGACCUACCAUUGGUGCGGUCUUCAACAGCUUGUCUACCCAAUUACGGAAAUUGGGAACAUCCUCCACAACUCCCAUGGUUGCUAAAAAAAAGUAAGAAAUGUUGAUAAACUUGAAGAAAAACGCACAAGAAGGAUACAAGACUUACGUGCAAAAUUCCACUUCUCAGGAAAGGGAACGUUUUCCUUUCCCGCUAAUCCAACAGUGGGGGGCAGCAACAAACCGGGCAUGCCCGCCAUAGUCUUUAUCAUCCUCAAGGCUCACCAAAACCCUCUUGCUCUUGGCUACUAGUGUAAAAAUACCAUUGCGAAAGAGCCUAGGGGAGUAAGGGUGAAUCAAGUGAGGGAAAGUAAAGGAAACACCGGGUGUAUUGGUCAAAUGCCUCAAAAAGGCAACAUCCCUCCAUAUGAUUGGGACAAUUUGACCCCAACUGACGUCGAAGAAACGAAAAAAAUUCAAGAAUGCCUGGGUCAAUAGCUGGUCUAAACCCUAAAGUGAAAGAGUAUGUAUAAACAAAAGAAACCCAGUUAAGUAAGAGGCGAUUCUUUGAUUUGGAUAGGGAUAAUAAUAGAAAAAUCACUACUCCAAUGAUAGUCUUUACGAACUAUAGAAAUCAAACCUUCAGUUUUUUGAGUGGGAUAGACAUCAUCACGAUCUAAAGAAGACACUUGAUUCCGAAAAGACUCUCUGUCAUGAUAAAAAGACAAUUAUGAAGGACUAUCUCUUUUACUAAAGGUUCAUGUAAUGGUUUAGAAGGUUCUUUACCCCUAGAAGAAGAUUUUUGAGAAAGAGAACCCAUGUUUCUAGAAGAGGGACCAGAACUAGGACAGGGCAUAGAAGAACAACCACCAGCAGGCCCAAAACUACGAAGCGUACCUCCCCUUCUACUCCUAAUGGGGGCAUUAGGAAAAGUAUCAACUAUGGAAACUCUCCUAGGGUUAGGGUUUGAUGAAUACAUAGCGAAGAAGGAUGAUACGAGGAAGAAAUAAGGAAAGAAGUUAUAUUUAUAUUGAUAAGCAACCGCCAAAGGAAAAAAAGGCAAUGAUGGAGGGGAUAUAAUAAUGAAAACUGAUGCUUCGUGUACAAUGGAGCCGUAAAAGAACUUUAAAAGGGGCUUCAAAACUGCAGGACUAAUGUGAAAGUGACACGUGUGAAGAGCAUUAAAUAGAAGUGACAAUUGAGAAAAUUGAGUUUGCAUAAUAAAGUGGAACAAAGAUGACGUGUCAAAGACACGUAGAGUGGUCAAAAAGUUACAAUUAGCAAAGAAAUACGAGCAAAGGCUAAGGAAGAAGCAUGGGCAGUUAUUCAAAUGACUCAGCGCCCGUACCUAUUUAAGUCCUUGAAGUCCUAGAAUCAAAGGGAAUAAAAAAGAGUACAGAUACAACAUUUAAUGCCGAAUACGUUAUGGAAUCUGUAUUAAAUAUAAUGAUUAUGUAACGUAGUAUUCAAUGUCUUUAAUUACACAUAAUAUCCUCAUUAGGGCAUAGGCAAAAUGCCUAUCUCCAAGGUAUCUAUAAAAGGGAGAUAUUUGAUCAACUGUGAGGAAACGAAAUACUAUCUGAAUAUACUUUGAUUUACUUGUUUCUGAUUAUCUUACUUCUAGCCAAAUUACUUUAUUAUAUAUAUUCUUUCGAUUAUCAGUAACCCGUGUUCUUCUAAAUUAUAGCUUUGACUAAAAUUUUAUUUUUUGGUUAAACAAUGAGAAUAACGUACAACCUGAAAUUGGACUAGGCACUCGUAAAACGGUUUGAGCCAGAUGUGGGAAAGUCUUGGCUCUUAAAAUUUGCGCUUCAAGCGCCCACAUGUACCCAUAAAAGGCAUCCGAGCCCAUCACAUGAGGCUCGUCCAAUUGAUUUUGUGCAAUCGAGUGUAAUUAGUUAUGUAAAUCCAUAAAUUCCUUAACCAAGCUGUCUAUAUUGACCAUAAAUCAUAAGUGAGAACAUUGCAAGCUUUGUCUUGUCUUUAAAACAUUAGGGGGUAAAGUUAACCUAUACCUAUAUUGGUGGAAGAAAGCAGACGCAGUCCAUGUUUUGUUAAACUUACCCAGACAACCAUUUAUUAUCGCGAGAGAUAACUUCAAAUAAUAGUAAGAAAAUGUUUCUUCAUUAAUUUACUUCACCUGAGGUACUCCAUUUAUUACCACGAGAGAGAGCUUCAAAUAAUUGUAAGAAAAUGUUUCUUGAUUCAAUUACUUCACCUGAGGUACAUAUCACAUUAUGUUUCCAAGAUUGUUUUUUUUUUCUUUUGAUGUUGGAUUGUUGAUGUUCCAUAUCUAUGCUAAUGUUUUCACAAUUAUAUUUAUUUAAUUAGAGUUUUAAAAGAUUAUUGUGUUUUUAGCAAUUUAUUUUUAACUAUCCUACUAUUUGUAGAUUUAUAAAUUAGUUAAAUUUAAAGAUUUAUGGGGCUUGCACACCAUGUCUGGAGCUACACUUCGCCUUGGGCGUCCAUCCUUCAAUACACUACGUCAAACCUUAAAGCGUUAACUUUGGAGCUUACACUUCGCCUUGGGCGUCCAUCCUUCAAUACACUACGUCAAACGUUAAAGCGUUAACUUUUGCCAUUUUUGUGCUUUUCAAUUUUUAUUUAAAUCUUUUCAACUAAGUUUGAAUAGAUGUUCAGGAGGUGUACUUAUGGACUAACGAAUGACUUCAGUCUAUUAAAGUACGCAGUAUUAGACAAAGAAGACGACACAAUUAAGAAAAGUAGAAUGCAAAGAAUCUCGAUAUAAUAAUGAGCAGAAUUGAUGGAGAUCUCAAGGAUGUUACUUAAAUUAAACAAUAAAUAAUACAGAUUAUUAAAACAAAAGAACAUUGAACACAUAAUAAGCAAACCCGAUCAUUUCGAGAAGCAUAUAUCAAAUUUUGGCUGAGGAAAUGGAGUUUGCCAAAAAAGGCCAAAAAGGAACACAUCAAAUUUUGGCUGAGGAAAUGAAGUUGCCAAAAAAAGGCCAAAAAGGAAUAAAAAUCAUGGAAUUAAAUGGCGAAAAUGACUGAAUAGUUAAAAUUAGUAGUAGGUCGGAGGAGGAGAUGAUGAUGGGGGUGGAGGUGAACCAUACGUGGCGGAUUGCUCGUACUUCUCAGGCGGUGCUGGUGACACAUAGGCAGGAGUUUGCUUAUAAUAGUUAGUUGGUGGUGGAGGUGAGUAAUAAGAUGGUGAUUUUUCAUAGGUCUUUGGUAGAGACGGCAAGUUGUAAGUUAUAGGUGGUUGCUCGUAGUAUUUUGGUGGAGGUGGAGGAGAUUUAUAAGAAGGUGUAGAUCCUUUGUAGUAUGGAGGAGGUGGAGAUUUAUAAGAAGAUAGUGAUUGCUCAUAGUAUUUUGGUGGGGAUGGAGAUGACUUGUAAUAAGGUGAUUGCUCAUAAUAUUUUGGAGGAGGUGGUGUAUGUUGGAGGAG
rnacentral:lncRNA from 1 species